AUGCUUGUUUUGGUAUUGGAAGAAGAAUACGUCAAUCUAUUAAUAGCACGAAAAUUAGUAGAUGUCUAUGCACUCGUUGCUAUAAUUGAGGCUAAAUGUGAGACUAGAUGUGCGAUUAGAGAAGAAAUUAGAGGGGAUGCAACGUCUACUUCUUUAGAGUCAAAGAAGAAUAAUGAACUAUGCAAGAUCGAUAAUCCGCAGAUCAACAAUGAAAGCAUCGAGAAGAUAUUAAUCCAACUAGUCAGAGUAGUUAUGGAAGUUGGAUAUCUUCUAAAAUGUCUAAUUAUGGUUCUUAUUUUCUGUGGUCUUGCUCUUCUAGCAAAGAAUUGGUGA
rnacentral:rRNA from 1 species